rnacentral:sRNA from 1 species
AAAAAGAUGAUGAGAACUAAAUAUUAUACAAGAAGAAAGAGAAGAAGCAAGAAAAAAAAAAAAAAAAAAAAAGAAAAAACUGAAACUUGAAAUAAAGUGGCGAAAGAUAUUUCAAAUUUCUUUAUAACAAUUUUUCUUUUUUCUUUUUCCUUUUAGAAGAUAUAAUCUUAAUUAUAUUUUAUAAAAUAAAUUAAAAAAAAAUAUAAUUGUAAAAUCUUCUUAACAAGAACAAAUAAAAAAUAUUUGUAUUCCUAUUAUUUCAUCUAAUGAAAUAAUAAUUUACAAACUUGAUAAAAUAAAAAUAAUAAAAAAAUAAAAUAUAUCUUUAUGAAUAUUAGAGAUAAUUUUUAUAUAUUUUAUUUUUUUUUUAUUUAUCAAAACAACAAAAGGAAAAAAAAAAAAAGGAAAAUACAAAUAUAUAAAUAUAUAUAUAUAUAUAUAUAUAUAUACAUAUUUGUCAAUUGGACAAAAUUGUUUGCUCCUUAGACAAUAUGAACUUUUUUUUUUCUUUUUUUUUGCUUCUUCUCAUUUCUACUAUCAUGAUUGAAGAAUAAAACAAUCUUUGGUAAUCUGAUUUUUAAUGA